rnacentral:rRNA from 1 species
UACGGAGGGUGCAAGCGUUAAUCGGAAUUACUGGGCGUAAAGCGUGCGCAGGCGGUUUGUUAAGUCUGUUGUGAAAUCCCCGAGCUCAACUUGGGAAUUGCAAUGGAUACUGGCAGGCUGGAGUAUGGUAGAGGAAGGUGGAAUUCCCGGUGUAGCAGUGAAAUGCGUAGAGAUCGGGAGGAACACCCGUGGCGAAGGCGGCUCUCUGGGACGGUACUGACGCUGAGACGCGAAAGCGUGGGGAGCGAACAGG